GUCUGUUUGAGUACAUCAGAUAAAAUUGGAACAAUCCAGAAAAUAUUAGCAUGACCCAUGCAAGUAUGACACUCACAAAUCAUAAACGUAUCCAAAUGUU
rnacentral:snRNA from 1 species